rnacentral:rRNA from 1 species
GAGUUUGAUCCUGGCUCAGGAUGAACGCUGGCGGCGUGCUUAACACAUGCAAGUCGAACGGACUCAUAUUGAAACCUAGUGAUUUAUGAGUUAGUGGCGGACGGGUGAGUAACGCGUGGAUAACCUGCCGUAUACCGGGGGAUAACACUUAGAAAUAGGUGCUAAUACCGCAUAAGCGCACGGCUCCGCAUGGGGCAGUGUGAAAAACUCCGGUGGUAUACGAUGGAUCCGCGUCUGAUUAGCUAGUUGGCGGGGUAACGGCCCACCAAGGCAGCGAUCAGUAGCCGGCCUGAGAGGGUGGACGGCCACAUUGGGACUGAGACACGGCCCAAACUCCUACGGGAGGCAGCAGUGGGGAAUAUUGCACAAUGGGGGAAACCCUGAUGCAGCAACGCCGCGUGAGUGAAGAAGUCAUUCGUGAUGUAAAGCUCUAUCAGCAGGGAAGAAAAUGACGGUACCUGAGUAAGAAGCCCCGGCUAACUACGUGCCAGCAGCCGCGGUAAUACGUAGGGGGCAAGCGUUAUCCGGAUUUACUGGGUGUAAAGGGAGCGUAGACGGCCAGACAAGUCUGAAGUGAAAAUCCAGCGCUUAACGUUGGAAGUGCUUGGAAACUGCCGGGCUAGAGUGCAGGAGGGGCAGGCGGAAUUCCUAGUGUAGCGGUGAAAUGCGUAGAUAUUAGGAGGAACACCAGUGGCGAAGGCGGCCUGCUGGACUGCAACUGACGUUGAGGCUC